GUCAUCAGGCCUGAUGUUGACCAGUGUAUUGACUUCCAUCUUGACCUGGGAUCUGCCUCAUCUUCAUGGGCUUCCCUGAGCACAGGGGCUCUCGACUGAACCUGGCUGCAGUCUCUGAUCCUGACCUGCUUGCCCUUCUCAAGCUUCUCUCUGUGCAUAGACUCCUCUUCCCUGCCAGAUGGAUUGGUAGAUCUUGCAGCAAUCAAGAUUUUCAGCAGAAACCCCUGCUGUCCACAGCAAGCCUCAGACAGAUGGAAUUCAGUGGGGGGAUGGAGUGAGUUGAUGCAGGAAUGUCGAGCUGCUGAAAAUAGGACAACAUAAAAAGGCCACUUCCCAGUGCCAGCUUGGAGUGAGCUUCCUGAGAACACAUAAAACAUCACAUGCACCAUGUGUUUCAGCUGAACCUCAUGAGCAUCCACAGGCUUUGUCAUGGUCUUAUGGACUCCGCUUAACCAUAGCUUGUUUCAUCCCAAAGCAAGCAACCAGCUGAGGAAGGACCUGUCAGCGAAGUGCCUUUACUUAAGCUGAAGCACCUCCUCCAGAUUCAGCCUCCCUACUGACUUGGCUGAGGUUCCUGGUGAGGAGAGGAAGGCAAUAUGGAAACAUCUUCUGCUUUAAAAUGUGCCAUGACCUGCUGGUCUCAAAGACACUUCCAGUGAUGCUCCUGAAUGGUAAAUAUUGGUGUGCCUGUGUAGGACUAAUCUGACUUCCAUGCCAGGACAGUGUCCUGAAGAGGCAUGAUCCGGUAUGACCUGGUUAAACCACCAGAUUUACCCUGAGCUUGACCCCUCUCUCUUCAGACUUGCCUUCUCCAAGCCCAAAGUUCAUCCUGGAUGAUGAAUGUAGCUUGUGAGUGUAUUACUUUAAGUAAAGACAAGGCUGGGUAAUUUCCUGCUAAAAAUACCAGUAAGGGCACUUUUAAGGUUGUGGAGGUCAACUCUAUCUGCUAACAGUGCCAGCUUUCACUGUCAUUCCCCUUUCCUUCUCUCCAUGCUCAGUUACCAUCUGGUGUUUUGGUUUAUUGAUAAAUGUUGCCCCCUUUUUUUUUAAAACUGUCACUACUUUUGGAGAGCCUGUCUUCUAACUUAGCUUUUCAUUUGCACCCCGAUCUACUGAGACUCUGUGAGAGUUCUGCACAUGCAAAAGGGUGUUUUGUUGAAGGAACACCAAUAUUUUAUGGCUGUAGACUUGCACAUACAAAGUGACUUGAAAUGUGGGCUCCAGCUGAGGUUAUAGGACAUAUUCAUGCCUUACCACCCUGCAGCUUGAGAAGCAAAGCUGGCACAAGGGAUAACACAGGAAUUUUUUUUUUUUUUUAAUCCGGAAGAGAUGGGGCAGGUGCAAUCAUAUUAGGUGAUCCUUUUAGGUAGACCUAGAAUUUUUUCUGGGUGGAGUAUAGCAAAGUCACUGCUAGGCAAGAAUGGCACUGAAUGCAGCCCUCAUCAAAUUGCCUCUUACAGCAUCAGUGUGUUGAGGUUUCAUCCAGGUAGUAGAGGCUGUGAAUAUCUGAGAAUGACCAAGGUGCUUCAUCACUAGCUGCCACAUUUGUUAUGUUUCUUAUGCCUCGAUUGCAUGGGCUUGUAGGCAGCUCCCUGCAGUACACUAAGUGAAUAACAUAUUAUUCUGGUGGGUUCUGUUCUUUUGACAUAAGAGUAAGGAAUGACACAUUUAGCUACUUUCUUCUUCUCUCAUCUACUGUGUAACAAUUUUAAUAAUACUUUCCUAUAAGUGAGAUUUUUGGAAGGCAUAUCUCACUUCAGAUUGCACAUGUUACUCUUCAACUUGACAGUCAAAAACCUCCUUUUUUUGUUGUGGCAUGGCUUAUGAUUUUCCUAGUGCUCCUCGUUAUGUUACAUGUAAGCACAAGUUUGUUUCCUCUGCUCAUUUUUGCAAUCACCCCAUUCAUUACCCCUGGUGAGCUUUAUAAUACCUUAAUCCUUGCAGGCUUCUGCUCUCCUUGUUCUUCAGGGAGCCUGAAUUCCCAAAGGCACCAUUCAGCUACCUACGGAAAUGACACACCUGCUUCUUGGAGCUCUUUGCCAAUGCUGUAAUGUCAGCUUCCUCUCAUCCACCCCUUCUGGCACAGGACUUCAAACCUCUCUUGAAGUGUCUUAGCUUAGAAAUGCUGGGAGGUGAUGUAUUAAGUGUUCUUUUUUUCCCCUGUCUGUUUUUUCCACUGCAUUGCCUGUCUCCCUCCCUGGGAGGCCAUGCAGUAUCCUUGAUCUGGGCUGGGGGCAGGUUUUGUUUGAGCCCCCCAUCCUUGAUUUUUAUUUACCACAGGGGGAAACAAUGCAUUCACAUCCUACAGACUUCCUGUAGAUUGAAUGGAAUCCUACACUGGGUUUUAUAGUUUUAUACAGGAAUUUGACAUUGGAGAGAAAAAAACAGAGCCCAUGUCCCCAGAAGGAAGUUCCCUGGCAUCAGUCACCUCUGACAUACUAGUUUUGGAUAUGGGCUUGUGCAGUGCCUGAUGGCAUGAGAGACCUAGAACCAUUCUUCCCCAUCCCUUUGCAUUAACCAUUAAUGGAUGCACAAGUUCCUGCCUGUAGGAUUAUUAUCCUCUGUGUCUAUUCGGACAGCAGCCCCAUCAGCUGGAAGUGAGCUUUGCCAUCAUUAAGGAGACUUUAACAAAGACUGUUCUGUCGAAAGUGAACAUCUUGAUGAGACUUAAUUUAUUUCACAGUUGUUGUUAUCCUGUUGACCUAAAAUGACAGCAGGAGACUUGGAGAGGUGCCCAGUUUAUUUAAGAAGCAAGCACAAAACAGUCUCUGCCUGCCUGGAGAAAGAUCUUAGCAGCAUAAAGCAAUCCUAGCUCCUAGUCCCAAAGCUCUGUCUGGCAGCUCCUGCUCAUCAAAGCUCACUGUGACUUUUCUGAGGGCCAGUCCAGAUUGUGUUGCCUUUUUUUUCCCCCCCCCUGUUUUUAAGUAUCCCAGCCUCUCCUUUGUGCAUCCUCUCAGGACUAUUUUCAGUGCUGUGAAAGCUGGGAAAGUGUUGUGUGAGGUACCAGCAUAACAGGCUGGGUUUACUCCAGUGUUUAGGGGUAGAUCAGAUGCCUGGAUGCAGUAGGCAAAGUGCCCAGUGCUGGAGCUCCCUGGCAUUUAAUACUUGUGUGGUGGCACAGUGCAGCUGCAGUGCCACGUCUGAGCCCUGCCCCAGAGGUGCCUGGUAUAUGUGCUCUGCCGUGGAGAGGGGCAGCUGGAAAGCAGAGCCAAACUGGACACACAGUGCAAGAAAAGGGUCCAGAUUUGCAGGCUACAGCCAGAAGUCCACCAAGACAUAAGAAGAAAAAGCAUAGUGGGAGGUGGUGAGAUCUUUAGCUUGGAGAUCUUCAAACCUCACCUGGGGAAGGCACUGAGCAACCUCAUCAGAUUUUGAAGCCAGUCCUGCUUUGAGCAGGGGGUUGGACUAGUGCCCUGCAAAACCUCUUCUGAGUUAAAUUACUACAUGAGAGAAGAGUUAAAGUCAGAUCGAAUUCUGUUUUUUUUUUCUUGGGAAACAAUAUGGAUUUUUCUUCCAACAGAAGGUCCUGUGAGAAUAAGUACCUGCUUUUAUAAAAGAGUGAAGGGUCACUGUCUUGUUAUCUUCAAUAAAAGGAAGUGGUUUCUUUUCCCAGCUUUAUUGGGAUUCACCUGCCCACUGCAACACGUACUACUUGUCAAGUUUGGUGCUGUACAAUUUGCACAGGAAAAGCUGAUGACAGUCUCUCAGAACAAACACCUGUCAUGCUUUUUGCCUAGAAGCUGCAGCUUGCCGACACAAGUGAGAGUUGGAAGGGUGAUUUGAGAUCAACCACACUGAGGAGCCCUUUGGAGGAGCCAAAGAUGCAAUGCUGCUGCAGUGCUAGCAUUGCAUCAGUAACUCAUUCCCUGGUUCCUGUUUAAUUCCUUCUCAUCCUCAGUCCUGCUGUGGUCAUUUUUGGGUCUUCUAUAAUGAAGUGAUACCUGCCAUCUUCCAAUUUCAGAGACUUCAUCUGAAUAAUCUCUCAAAAAUCAAGGUAAAAUGAGAGAGAAAUCUGAUGUCAAGAAAGUAAAGAAAAUAUUUUGUGUGUAAUACACUGCCUUAGGGAACAGGUUGACAGUGUUGACAGGGUUUUGCCUGCAUUGCCCUUCCCAGGAGCCUGCUCCAGCCUUUCUGUGCUCUGACAGCUGGAGAUGUUCCCUGUGUUUCCACAUUUCCAGCAGCAAGAACAAAAUGUCAUUUACUUUAUGUUCCUGUAGUUUCCUUAGGUUCUAGGAGAGCUCACCAUCCACUGGCUAUCUUUGAGCUUCAGCAGACCUUGCAAGAUACAUAAAUAUAGCUACAGGAAGGCAUUCCGAGCCCACAAUUUGUGUAUUAGAAACCUGAAAUCAGGAACUGCUCUGCUGUGACUUUGAGAACUGGGUACCAGAUCUUACUUUAGUGAAGUUAAACACAUGCAGGAGGACAGUUCAUCAUAAGAGUAGCCAAAGUCACAUCAUCCCAACAUGGAAUCUCUUGAAUGCAGUUCAGAUUUAUGACUAAUUUAUAUUGCUCGUUUUGGCCCUAGACAGACAACUUAAUAUGAUAUAAAUUCAUUACUGAAGACUAGAGCAAAGAGCUGUGUGUGUGGAGUAAAGUGCAUGACCAUUGGGAUGGA